AGCAGCCGCGGUAAUUCCAGCUCCAAUAGCGUAUAUUAAAGUUGUUGCAGUUAAAAAGCUCGUAGUUGAAUUUCGGGAUUGACACAUCGGUCGUGCCUUAAGGGGUGUGAACUGGUGUAGUCAAUUUCUCACCUUCUGGAGAACCGCGAUGUCCUUAAUUGGGUGCCGCGAGGAACCAGGACCUUUACUUUGAAAAAAUUAGAGUAGUUUAAAGCAGGCAUUUUUGCUUGAAUACAUUAGCAUGGAAUAAUAAAAUAGGACGGCAUGAUUCUAUUUUGUUGGUUUCUAGGAUCACCGUAAUGAUUAAUAGGGAUAGUUGGGGGCAUUAGGUAUUCAAUUGUCAGAGGUGAAAUUCUUGGAUUUAUUGAAGACUAACUACUGCGAAAGCAUUUGCCAAGGAUGUUUUCAUUAAUCUAAGACGAAAGUUAGGGGAUCGAAGACGAUCAGAUACCGUCGUAGUCUUAACCAUAAACUAUGCCGACUAGGAAUCAGACGAUGUUAAUUUUUAAUGUACUCGUUUGGCACC
rnacentral:rRNA from 1 species